GGAUCAUUACCGAAUUGUCAAACGGGUUGUUGCUGGUCCUCAAACGGGGACAUGUGCACGCUCUGUUUACACAUCCACUCACACCUGUGCACCCUCCGUAGUUCUAUGGUCUGGGGGACCCCGUCUUCCUGCCGUGGUUCUGCGUCUUUACACACACGCUGUAACAAAGUCUUAUGGAAUGUAUGCCGCGUCUAACGCAAUACAAUACAACUUUCAGCAACGGAUCUCUUGGCUCUCGCAUCGAUGAAGAACGCAGCGAAAUGCGAUAAGUAAUGUGAAUUGCAGAAUUCAGUGAAUCAUCGAAUCUUUGAACGCACCUUGCGCCCCUUGGCUAUUCCGAGGGGCAUGCCUGUUUGAGUAUCAUGAACACCUCAACUCUCAUGGUUUGCCAUGAUGAGCUUGGACUCUGGGGGUUUUGCUGGCCUGUGGUCGGCUCCCCUCAAAUGAAUCAGCCUCCCAGUGUUUGGUGGCAUCACGGGUGUGAUAAAUAUCUACGCUCAUGGUCGUCUGCCAGGUAACCUUUGGUGACAAAGGUUUGCUGGAGCUCAUAGAUGUCUCUUCUCAGUGAGGACAGCUUUUUGAACGUUCGAUCUCAAAUCAGGUAGGACUACCCGCUGAACUUAAGCAUAU
rnacentral:rRNA from 1 species